GUAGGGUCGACGUUGCCGGAAUAUGGGCGUAAAGAGCUCGUAGGCGGUUUGUCACGUCGGCCGUAAAAACUGGAGCUUAACCUCCAGCUUGCGGUCGAUACGGGCAGACUUGAGUUCGGUAGGGGAGACUGGAAUUCCUGGUGUAGCGGUGGAAUGCGCAGAUAUCAGGAGGAACACCGGUGGCGAAGGCGGGUCUCUGGGCCCGAUACUGACGCUGAGGAGCGAAAGCGUGGGGAGCGAACAGGAUUAGAUACCCUGGUAGUCCACGCUGUAAACGUUGGGCGCUAGGUGUGGGCGACUUCCACGUUGUCCGUGCCGUMKAACGCAUUAAGCGCCCGCC
rnacentral:rRNA from 1 species